rnacentral:rRNA from 1 species
CCUACGGGCGGCAGCAGUGAGGAAUAUUGGUCAAUGGACGAGAGUCUGAACCAGCCAAGUAGCGCGAAGGAUGACUGCCCUAUGGGUUGUAAACUUCUUUUAUAUGGGAAUAAAACGUUCCACGUGUGGGAUUUUGUAUGUACCAUAUGAAUAAGGAUCGGCUAACUCCGUGCCAGCAGCCGCGGUAAUACGGAGGAUCCGAGCGUUAUCCGGAUUUAUUGGGUUUAAAGGUAGCGUAGGUGGAUUGUUAAGUCAGUUGUGAAAGUUUGCGGCUCAACCGUAAAAUUGCAGUUGAAACUGGCAGUCUUGAGUACAGUAGAGGUGGGCGGAAUUCGUGGUGUAGCGGUGAAAUGCUUAGAUAUCACGAAGAACUCCGAUUGCGAAGGCAGUUCACUGGACUGCAACUGACACUGAGGCUCGAAAGUGUGGGUAUCAAACAGGAUUAGAUACCCUUGUAGUC